GAUGAACGCUAGCUACAGGCUUAACACAUGCAAGUCGAGGGGCAGCAUGGUCUUAGCUUGCUAAGGCCGAUGGCGACCGGCGCACGGGUGAGUAACACGUAUCCAACCUGCCGUCUACUCUUGGACAGCCUUCUGAAAGGAAGAUUAAUACAAGAUGGCAUCAUGAGUCCACAUGUUCACAUGAUUAAAGGUAUUCCGGUAGACGAUGGGGAUGCGUUCCAUUAGAUAGUAGGCGGGGUAACGGCCCACCUAGUCUUCGAUGGAUAGGGGUUCUGAGAGGAAGGUCCCCCACAUUGGAACUGAGACACGGUCCAAACUCCUACGGGAGGCAGCAGUGAGGAAUAUUGGUCAAUGGGCGAGAGCCUGAACCAGCCAAGUAGCGUGAAGGAUGACUGCCCUAUGGGUUGUAAACUUCUUUUAUAAAGGAAUAAAGUCGGGUAUGGAUACCCGUUUGCAUGUACUUUAUGAAUAAGGAUCGGCUAACUCCGUGCCAGCAGCCGCGGUAAUACGGAGGAUCCGAGCGUUAUCCGGAUUUAUUGGGUUUAAAGGGAGCGUAGAUGGAUGUUUAAGUCAGUUGUGAAAGUUUGCGGCUCAACCGUAAAAUUGCAGUUGAUACUGGAUAUCUUGAGUGCAGUUGAGGCAGGCGGAAUUCGUGGUGUAGCGGUGAAAUGCUUAGAUAUCACGAAGAACUCCGAUUGCGAAGGCAGCCUGCUAAGCUGCAACUGACAUUGAGGCUCGAAAGUGUGGGUAUCAAACAGGAUUAGAUACCCUGGUAGUCCACACGGUAAACGAUGAAUACUCGCUGUUUGCGAUAUCCAGCAAGCGGCCAAGCGAAAGCGUUAAGUAUUCCACCUGGGGAGUACGCCGGCAACGGUGAAACUCAAAGGAAUUGACGGGGGCCCGCACAAGCGGAGGAACAUGUGGUUUAAUUCGAUGAUACGCGAGGAACCUUACCCGGGCUUAAAUUGCAGAUGAAUUACGGUGAAAGCCGUAAGCCGCAAGGCAUCUGUGAAGGUGCUGCAUGGUUGUCGUCAGCUCGUGCCGUGAGGUGUCGGCUUAAGUGCCAUAACGAGCGCAACCCUUGUUGUCAGUUACUAACAGGUUCCGCUGAGGACUCUGACAAGACUGCCAUCGUAAGAUGUGAGGAAGGUGGGGAUGACGUCAAAUCAGCACGGCCCUUACGUCCGGGGCUACACACGUGUUACAAUGGGGGGUACAGAGGGCCGCUACCACGCGAGUGGAUGCCAAUCCCAAAAACCUCUCUCAGUUCGGACUGGAGUCUGCAACCCGACUCCACGAAGCUGGAUUCGCUAGUAAUCGCGCAUCAGCCACGGCGCGGUGAAUACGUUCCCGGGCCU
rnacentral:rRNA from 1 species